rnacentral:rRNA from 2 species
GACGUAGGGGGCGAGCGUUGUCCGGAUUUAUUGGGCGUAAAGCGUGCGUAGGCGGCUGCGCAAGUCGGUUGUGAAACCCCGGGGCUCAACCCCGGAACUGCAUCCGAUACUGCGUGGCUAGAGGUAGGUAGGGGAGAUCGGAAUUCCUGGUGUAGCGGUGAAAUGCGCAGAUAUCAGGAGGAACACCGGUGGCGAAGGCGGAUCUCUGGGCCUUACCUGACGCUCAGGCACGAAAGCUAGGGGAGCGAACAGG